UUUAAAAAAAGAUAUUUUUAUUGAUUUCAGAAAGGGAAGGGAACCAGGUUUGCUAAAGUAAUUGUGGUGAUAGAAAUGUAUUAGCCUCAGAAGCUACUGAGGUGGUUCAUUCUAUCCUAGUACAGUG
ensembl:snoRNA SNORA66 Small nucleolar RNA SNORA66